rnacentral:lncRNA from 1 species
CUUCAUCCUUUCUCCUCGCACUUUUGUUCUUACAGCUCCUGCACAUACUUAUAUACUGAAUAGGACCAUGAAAAAGUGCUUAAGCUCAAACAGGUUUCUUACUGAUCCAGCUAAUACCAUGAAGCAGCCUUUUCUUUUCUCUUCUAACACGCCUGACGUUUUCUGCCUUCUGGGCCUGGAUCUCAAAGGAUGACGGUCAAAUGGAAAAGAUGAAGUCAGUGAGACAAAACAGAGUGCUGAAUCUCAGGAGGCACCUGUGUUUCAAAUGUGUUAAUGGAACUGUCCAGGUGGAAACCAGAGGUGUCAUAUCUGGGAUUCCACCCUAGGGGCUCCAUAAAUUCUCUUUCCUGGGAUUCUGAAUUGCUUUCUGAAGUUGCAUUAAAAAAAUCACUUGAGUGUAUUUAAAGUCCUUUCUUGAAAGAUUAUCUUUUUAAAAGCAAACUAUUUUUAUUCUUCUAGAACACAUGUAAAAUUAUUUAAAAUUAUCAGUUAUUUAUAGAAGUACUUCUUGCUGUCCUACUUGUGCAUUAGACAAAAGAAAUUUAACACAGAAGCAUUUAUGUAGAUUGGAACCCUAAAAAUAAAUAUCUACUUUUGUCUCACAUUUUACAAUUUCUUUCUAAUGAUCAAGGCAGUUAGAUCAGACAGAAAAAUGAUUAUUGUGGAUUAUGAAAAGAAUUAUUUCUGACCCCAAGGGAGUCUUUUGAUUAUGCUUCCAUUUUAAUAAAAAUCAAAGCCAAAAGC